rnacentral:tRNA from 1 species
GCGCCGAAAUAAGAUCAGCUGGAUAGAGCGUUGCCCUCCGAAGGCAAAGGCCAGUGGUUCGAAUCCACUUGGGUGCACCA